UCGUCAAGCCAUGUUUGGAACUACACGAGGCUCCGUUACCCGGAAGUAAAAUCGUAUAAUGGAUCUCUAUGGGAGUGUCGUAACCCUCUUUCUUAUGGGUAGGCCGGCAGUGUCGUGUACGUUAUGACGUAAGAGGAUGUGAGUGGCUGGGGGAGGAGGUUCCGUCCCAUUGCUUUGGAACAGUAGUGGCAGCUUUGAGGACAAUCCACUACUUUUCAUCUGUCAUUGGCCCCGUGACGUAAUGUAAUCCACUGAAAGGUGCCGGAAAUUUUCGGACACGCCACGAAUCCGUUCAGUCUCGCUUUUGCUUGGAGUCGUUUGGGUGCACGUUGAAACUUCGAGGCCUGCUUAAGUUAGCUUUAGCCGCUAACAAAGAGAGCAAGCAACGCGCUUCCGAGCAAGCAAACAAUAAGUCCAAAAAUGUCAGGUGUUGCACUCACAGCGUCAGAGUCAGCCACCAUUAUCUCAAUGGGUUAUCCUGGCACCAGAGGGGCAAGUCCUGUCAGCACACUGCACACGCAUGGCAAGUGUGGCUGACUCCUGGACGCAUGAGCAUGGUGAGAUGGUUGCAUGCGACAAGACUAGCUGCUCUGUCCAAUGGUUCCACUUCCGGUGUGUAGGCAUUGUUGACAUGCCUCCAGCUGAUUCAGUAUGGUUUUGCCCAUCAUGAGAAAAAUGACCGACAUUAUGCUUUCUGUAUGCAACAUGCUAUUGUAUUUACAAAUGCAAACUGUGGUUAUAUAGCAUAUGUUCCAAUACGCCACCAUUUUUACAUUUUUAGCAUUGCUUGUGGCCCCAUGUACUUGCGUAUGUUGUCUGAUCUUAUACAUUGCACUGUAAACAACUACAUAAACAUGCCCUGACAUUGUACAUUGUUAACAUUUAGCACAACAGUGUGUUUAUGUGUAUCUUAUCCUCUUUGUUUUGCACAGUUUUUAAUUAUUAUUCAAAUAUUACCAAUGUAUAUCACUCAUAUUAACAGUUGGGGAUGACUUUGAUGUACAGUACACAAAAUACGUAUAUUGCAUGUUCAUGCUCUGACGUCACUUGAAGGACUUGCAAAAUUUUCACUUAAGUACAGUGGUACCUCUACAUACGAUCGCUUCGACACACGAACUUUUCGACAUCCGACGUAAAAUUUGACUCGCCAUUUGUUUCUACAUCCGACGACAUGCUCGAAAUACGACGACAAUGGCAGCACCGCAGACGAAUGCACGGCGGAUUUUCUUGUGUGACAAAUCAACACAGGUUUCAGAAAAGGUUGGUACAGGUGGUGAAACAAGGAAAAAGUUGAUGCUUACCUUCGAAAUGAAGAUGCAAAUGACAGAAAAAUAUGAGCGUGGGGUGGGCAUCCGUGAAAUGGCUCAACAAUACAUCUCCACGGUCCUCCUCCGACCAUCGUUCGCCAGUCUUUAUAAAUUAAGCUGACAAUUCUUAUUGUCUCCAAAGAAAUCGCCAGCUUCGCCACGUUUUCAUCAUUUCUUUUACAACUUAUUCAACACAAAACGCCUGCUGUCUGCCGCAAUUGAUGGUGUUCUCAAGAGAACAUUCAAAGUGAAAGUGAAACUCAAGCUCACCGGUCUGUCUCUGGCACGUGAGCCCCGCGGUGCGUUCAGGUACACAAAAAAACGUCCGCCUUAUUAGAACCCGAUUCGUUACACUAUUACAGGAAUUAUUAUUAUUCUUUUUAUAAUUUAUUUGUUUUGCUACGUGUAAUUGCCAUUUGUAAUAGCACCAGCAGUAUUUUUUAAGGAUUUAGUGCAGGUUUUUGGGCUGUGGAACGAAUUAAUGGAAUUAUAAUGUAUUCCUAUGGGAAAAUCCUGCUCGACAUACGACCAUUUCGACUUACAAACAAGGUCCUGGAACGGAUUAACUUCGUAUGUAGAGGUACCACUGUACCUAUUUUUGUGUUUUGGACCUUUUGUUUCUCUAACAUUGCAUUUUGUUGAAUAUAUAAAAAUAAACCAUGUCAUUUGGAUUGUACUUUCAAGUUUUUAUUCAAUAAAGGCAAAUAUUAAGUGCACAUCAAACUACACUUUUUCAAAUAUUAGUUAAGGCACAGCAAACAGUUACUAUUUGAUCUAACAUUGUCAGAUUUUCCCCUCCCAAGCAAAGUAGCAUGCUGAUAGCCACAACCGAUAGCAAAAUCCUGUACUUGUUACGUACAACACAAAUUACUCUUAUAGUAUAAGGAGCUUAUAAUCAUCCAACUCUUCUUUCAACAGCCGGUUUUCUUCCAAAAAGUUGUUUACCAUGUCUUGUCUGUGUGUUUACACAACACACAGACUGGUGGCUGGUCGAUGUCUGUCUGUGUGGCAACAUGACAAGGUGGCUGGUCCAUGCCUGUGUGCAUUGCAGGAGGAGAGGGUGGCUGGUCCAUGUCUGUCUGUGUGGCAACAUGACAAAGUGGCUGUUCAUUGCCUGCGUGCAUUGCAGGAGGAGAGGGUGGCUGGUCCAAAUCGGAUCGUGUGGCAGCAGGAGGGGGUGGCCAGGCCUGUCUGCGUCUUAGAUGCCUCUGAAAUCUUGCCUUAUCUGUCACCUGCACUUCACCGUGGCCCAACCACAGUGACUGUUUCCAAUCUGGGUGGUUCUCUAGCAUUUCAUAAGAUGGCUUACCUGUAAACAAUAUAAGAACAAGCAACACAAAGAAAACAUCAGUCUGUGACCACAGUGGCCUAUACUACGAAGCCAGUUUUCUGGCUUAGCUGGGUAACUUCGAGAGUAACUUCAUCACGUGCGACCUAAGUUCGCAGCUAAGCGAGACUACGAAAGGUGGAUAUGUCGGAACCGAGAAGUGUUGCCAUGGCAACACACGCCACACGCCAAACCUGGUCGUCUCAGAGUUAGAUCUUGCUUAACCCCAGAAUUCUAAUUAACCACGCUAUAAUUAAACAGCACUCCUCCUCGGACGUGUCCUCCUGACAAUGACAGCGUACCUGGACGACCCAUACGACAUUGGCGCGCGGAUUGUGAGGGGCUCUCUUCGGAGUGCACGGGUUUUUGGAGACCGCCAGAAUCCGCUGGCGUACCCGGAAGAUGUUCUCCAUGAAAGAUUUUCAGCUGACGGAAUUCUUUACCUGUGCCAACUGAUCGAGGCGGACGUCACUAUAAUGUAACCCGCCGAAGUCAGGCCCUCACAAACGGGCAGAUUGUGUGCCUCUCCGUGCGCUCUUUCGCCAGGGACAAUAUAUGCAUUCCAAUGGUGAUGCUGAAUAUCUGCGCAAGAACAUUGUAUGCCGUGCGAUUCGAAGUGGGGUAUGGAAACGCUUCAAAUUGAUCGUUGAAAUUGCUGAAUGUAAACGAAUGCGGAGCUUUGCUCUCAUAUACAAGAAAUAUAUUUAACAGACUUUUCCAGCGUUAUUUCGUUGUGUAAAUGAGUUAAUAAUAAUCAUAGAAAUAUGUAGACUAUUUAAACAUUGAGAAAAUUUGCGUUUUUUUCUGCCAACUCGAAGAGAUUAAAUUAAAUGUCAAAUCCACUGAUAGGACAGACGCACAAA